UAGGGAAUCUUCGGCAAUGGACGGAAGUCUGACCGAGCAACGCCGCGUGAGUGAAGAAGGUUUUCGGAUCGUAAAGCUCUGUUGUUAGAGAAGAACGUUGGUAGGAGUGGAAAAUCUACCAAGUGACGGUAACUAACCAGAAAGGGACGGCUAACUACGUGCCAGCAGCCGCGGUAAUACGUAGGUCCCGAGCGUUGUCCGGAUUUAUUGGGCGUAAAGCGAGCGCAGGCGGUUCUUUAAGUCUGAAGUUAAAGGCAGUGGCUUAACCAUUGUACGGUUUGGAGACUGGAGGACUUGAGUGCAGAAGGGGGGGGAGUAAUUCCAUGUGUAGCGGUGAACUGCGUAGAUAGAUGGAGGAACACCGGUGGCGAAAGCGGCUCUCUGGUCUGUAACUGACGCUGAGGCUAGAAAGCGUGGGAAGCAAACAGG
rnacentral:rRNA from 1 species